rnacentral:rRNA from 1 species
GACGAACGCUGGCGGCGUGCUUAACACAUGCAAGUCGAACGAGUGGCGAACGGGUGAGUAACACGUGGGUGACCUGCACUGCACUUCGGGAUAAGCCUGGGAAACUGGGUCUAAUACCGGCUAGUGUGGGAUGGGACCGCGGCCUAUCGGCUUGUUGGUGGGGUAACGGUCACCAAGGCCCGAGGCAUAGCCGACCUGAGCGGGGGAUCGGCCACACUGGGACUGAGACACGGCCCAGACUCCUACGGGAGGCAGCAGUGGGGAAUAUUGCACAAUGGGCGCAAGCCUGAUGCAGCCAUGCCGCGUGUAUGAAGAAGGCCUUAGGGUUGUAAAGUACUUUCAGCGUGGAGGCGUUACCCGCAGAAGAAGCACCGGCUAACUCCGUGCCAGCAGCCGCGGUAAUUC